rnacentral:rRNA from 1 species
ACGUACACUCCUGCGGGAGGCAGCAGUGGGGAAUAUUGCACAAUGGGCGCAAGCCUGAUGCAGCCAUGCCGCGUGUAUGAAGAAGGCCUUCGGGUUGUAAAGUACUUUCAGCGGGGAGGAAGGCGAUAAGGUUAAUAACCUUGUUGAUUGACGUUACCCGCAGAAGAAGCACCGGCUCACUCCGUGCCAGCAGCCGCGGUAAUACGGAGGGUGCAAGCGUUAAUCGGAAUUACUGGGAGUAAAGCGCACGCAGGCGGUCUGUCAAGUCGGAUGUGAAAUCCCCGGGCUCAACCUGGGAACUGCAUUCGAAACUGGCAGGCUAGAGUCUAGUAGAGGGGGGUAGAAUUCCAGGUGUAGCGGUGAAAUGCGUAGAGAUCUGGAGGAAUACCGGUGGCGAAGGCGGCCCCCUGGACAAAGACUGACGCUCAGGUGCGAAAGCGUGGGGAGCAAACAGGAUUAGAAACCCGUGUAGUCCCA